rnacentral:rRNA from 1 species
AUUGAACGCUGGCGGCAGGCCUAACACAUGCAAGUCGAACGGUAACAGGAAGCAGCUUGCUGCUUUGCUGACGAGUGGCGGACGGGUGAGUAAUGUCUGGGAAACUGCCUGAUGGAGGGGGAUAACUACUGGAAACGGUAUCUAAUACCGCAUAAUGUCGCAAGACCAAAGAGGGGGACCUUCGGGCCUCUUGCCAUCGGAUGUGCCCAGAUGGGAUUAGCUAGUAGGUGGGGUAAAGGCUCACCUAGGCGACGAUCCCUAGCUGGUCUGAGAGGAUGACCAGCCACACUGGAACUGAGACACGGUCCAGACUCCGACGGGAGGCAGCAGUGGGGAAUAUUGCACAAUGGGCGCAAGCCUGAUGCAGCCAUGCCGCGUGUAUGAAGAAGGCCUUCGGGUUGUAAAGUACUUUCAGCGGGGAGGAAGGGAGUAAAGUUAAUACCUUUGCGCAUUGACGUUACCCGCAGAAGAAGCACCGGCUAACUCCGUG